rnacentral:misc_RNA from 1 species
AUAACGGAGCGAAACGCACUCUUCUCUCUCCCUCUCUUUCUCUCUUUCGUCUCCUUGUCCUAAGUUUUUCAUCGUUAUCUUCUUCUUUACUCAUCUCCUCUCUGUAAAUAUACAGUGUCUUUCUCCUUUUAGCCUUUUUUUUCUCUUUAUUUUUUUUCUUUCUUGUCUGAAGAUUCAAGUUCUUUGAAUCCUAACUGACCAGGUUUGGGUUGGAGGGAUUGUUCAAA